GUACACGCUGUGACUAGCAUAUCAAUAAGCGGAGGAAAAGAAACUAACAAGGAUUCCCCUAGUAACGGCGAGUGAAGCGGGAAGAGCUCAAAUUUGAAAUCUUAAAGGGUUUCCCUUUACGAAUUGUAGUUUAAAGAAGUGUUUUCUGUUGAGGUUUUGGUAAAAGUUCUUUGGAAUAGGACAUCAUAGAGGGUGAGAAUCCCGUAUUUGACCUUUACUUUCAACUUUGUGAUACACUUUCAAAGAGUCGGAUUGUUUGGGAAUGCAGUCCAAAAUGGGUGGUAAAUUUCAUCUAAAGCUAAAUAUUGGCGAGAGACCGAUAGCGAACAAGUACCGUGAGGGAAAGAUGAAAAGAACUUUGAAAAGAGAGUUAAACAGUACGUGAAAUUGUCAAAAGGGAAGCGUUUGACACCAGUGUUGUUUUUCUGAAAAUCAAUUAAAGAACUGUUUAUGCUAAGUUGUUUAGACUUUAUCAGCUAUCUGUUUAGUUUUAGGCUUUUCUUUAAUGCACUUUUCAGUUAACAAGUCAACAUCAAUUUCUUUUGCUGUAAAAAAGCUUGAGGAAGGUGGCUUGAGAUUCGUCUUAAGUGUUUAUAGCCUCUUGCCUAUGCAGUCGGAGAGAUUGAGGUCUGCAGCGUAGAUCCUUCGGGGCUAAAUGCAUUUGUGCUAAGUUAUAGCAUUUUAUAGACAACUUGUUGACUAUGAUUUGUCUUGUAGCUUACUCGCUUAUGUUAUUUUACCUACGCUUAGGAUGUUGAGUCGUAGAGCACGCAG
rnacentral:rRNA from 1 species